UGUGCGACGACAAUCAGAUAUUUAUAAAGCGCUCGUGCUAUUGUAGACCGCGUCCUGGACGCGUCUGCUCGUUUUGUUUCAGUUCCAUCUUUGUGGAGGUUAUGCGAACUACCUAAAGAAUUCAGGGUUAUAUUAUUUUCUCCCACCUGUCACUCUGUAAUUUUGAAAGAAUAUGGAAUUUUUUAAGAUUGGUGUGAGGCCUGUAGGGUUAUGUCCUACACAUUGAGGCUAGACUCAAGGCUGUGCUCGAUAUAACAUAAUAGUGGCUUUCUGGAUUUCCUACCUCAAGUACAAAGCAUGGGAUAAGCUGUUGAUAUUUGCACACCCAUAGUUCGUUUCUACUGCAAUGUCACUCAGAUAUUGUCUGUAGUUCUAGUUUAUGAAGUGAAAAGUGUGACAGUGGUGAAGGCAUUCCAAAUUACAUCUGCUUUUCUUUGUACGGCCCUCUUGGGUGGAACUGGGCAUGGAAAGAAACACGAUUUUCCAUUCUCUCGUGGGUGAGUAGCUACAUUGCUUUAUGUUGAGCCUCUUGGGUGGAACUGGUCUGGAGAGAAACAUGAUUUGCUAUUCUCACUUGGGUGAGUUGCUAAGUUGAAUAAGGAAUAGUUCCACCCCUUCCAUUAUUUACCUCUGCUUUUUAACAGCUGAUUUAAAACUACGAAAUAGCUAAUUUUCACUCUGGACUAUUCAAAUAAGGCCAAAUUAGCAGGACUGGGAGUGCCAUUUGGAGCUCGCUUUGCUCAUUAAAUGUGUGCAGUGAAGUAUCUACCCCCUGUACAGUGCCCUAGUUAUAGAAAAUAAUUUUCUUUCAAGUGCAUGACUAUGAAGUGACUUGUUAUAGUUUUUGUUUGUGUAAAGUAAAUAUAUAUUUUUUUGUCUUGUAUUUUAUGCUGUCAAACAAUAAUAAUUGAGACCUGGCUGCAUUCACUCUGUUCUUUGCUCUGCCAGGAGUCUUGACUCUUUGUUGCCUCUUUUGAGGCAACUAGUUUAUGUUCUGUUAUUUAGAGGCUUGAGUACAUCUGUGAAUUGUUUUGUGCACUUUGUUUCUUUUAGCCUGGAUGAUAGUAUUUUUAGAGGGGAAAGAUCUGCUGAAAUUACCGUCACCAUCACUAGCUUCAAACUAGAGUGUAGCUUGUUGACAGAUAAACAACAGUCUUGUCUGUCUCUUCAGUUAUCCUCUCCAGUGAGAGGACUAGAGAAUGCGGAUAAUUGCUUCAUCCUUUGAAGUACUUGGAGCAUUCCCAAAUGCAAUAAACUGCUGACCUCCUCAAGACAGCGGUGAAAUGAGAAGCCUAUGGUCAUGGUGUCCUUUGGAUUUCAUGCAGGGAGAAGCAGUGUGUUUUAUUAAGAGAGAGCUGCAUGGUAUUAUACCUCUUGCUGUAAUGUGGAUGAAUCGACAGUGCAAAAGAAGAGGAUAGGGAAUCUCUUUUCAACAGUUGUCCGUGACUUUGUAUCAGACUGGUAUUAAUCUGGGAUUUAUUUUGGGAGAAACUGUCAGGUAACAAAUGCUUAUAGUUUCUCUUGAGUCUGUUAUGCAAUGCAAUAUUUCUCGGUUUCCCAUGUGAAGAAAAUAAUUUUUAUUGUCUGUCUGUUUUUUAAUGUGUUUAUAUCGUUUAACUGAAAUUGAUCAUGUAACAUUACUUUUAUCUAGCAUUCUGUAGUAUCUUUAUCUAAAGUAAGCUUGGCAACAUUGCCCUUCCAUCUAAUGGUCAUGACUGUACGGCACAGGAAGAUGUAUUAGAUUGAGCAUAUGGUAGCUGUCAACCUUUUUCUGGCUCUUUUCUGGGCUCAGGUAGUCGUUUCUGUGUGGCCUGAGUAAAUUCUCUGCAGUUACACUUCCUUCGGCUGUGUACAUUGGUCUUUGGUCAAUUAUUCCAAAUAGUCCUUGAGCCCCCUCAUUACUUGGUCCACGAAGUUUGUUGAUUAUUUUCUACAGUCUGUAGUGGCACAAUUAGCUUGUGUCACUAAUUUAGGACAAUGAAUGAUGUGUGUAAUGUAUUCCAAUAUUCUGUGAUUAUUUAUGUACACCUGUGUCUCCUGAUUUAUUUGAAUGUUAUGUCCAUGGCAUGGCAAUCGUGUCAUUUUAUAUUGACUGGCUCUGUUUGGACUUUGUAGUGUCACAAUUGUGUUUUUAUCACUCAAGUUUGCUCACCCAGUACGUGUGGUUCCUGGCUCAUAUUACCAAUGUCGAUUGGAAUUAUCUUUGAUGUAAUAUCUGUUUGCGAAAAAUUUUUCACUUAAGCAAGCUGCUUUGAAAUGUUGGUUUUAUUUAGUUGUGUUGAGAGUAGCUGUUUGGCAUGGUUUUUUUUUGCAUGUGUUGUUUUUGAGUUGUCUUUAAUUCAAGGACAAUAUAUCUCCAUUUGUUUCAUUUCUCAGCUUAGAAUUUGCUGAUAUCUUGUCUUAGCAUUUCAGCUGCUGUGAGUAAAAACUCUUGCACUUUGAACUCUAAGUUAUUUUUGUCAAACUAGUUUACUACUUGCACAUUUUUCUGCUGUUUGUAUCAAGUAAGUUAAUGCCUGCUGAUUUAGUUAAUGUAUCAGUUUAAGUUUUAACUCACCAUUUGGACUUGUAUACUUUCUGAUGAGUUUUGGUACUUUGAAUCAUACCCUCUGCUGUAUUUUCUGAUUAAUUAGUUCAUAAAUCUCAAGAUUAUUCCUGAAUCUUUACUGUUGUUAGUUGUCAUUCAUCUUUUCUCUGGUCUAUAGCUGAGAUCAUGGUCAUCUCUAUCCAUGUUUCUGUCUUGCCUAAACCCAUCUACGGACAAUUUUAUGGGCAGAUGAAGAUUGUUUCCAAUGUCUUUGAUGUGCAGGAGUACUUGUUGUGUGUGGGGAA